GGAGGCAGCAGUGGGGAAUAUUGCACAAUGGGCGCAAGCCUGAUGCAGCCAUGCCGCGUGUAUGAAGAAGGCCUUCGGGUUGUAAAGUACUUUCAGCGAGGAGGAAGGCGUUAAGGUUAAUAACCUUAGCGAUUGACGUUACUCGCAGAAGAAGCACCGGCUAACUCCGUGCCAGCAGCCGCGGUAAUACGGAGGGUGCAAGCGUUAAUCGGAAUUACUGGGCGUAAAGCGCACGCAGGCGGUCUGUUAAGUCAG
rnacentral:rRNA from 1 species